CAGCCGCCGCGGUAAUACGUAGGUGGCAAGCGUUGCCCGGAAUUAUUGGGCGUAAAGGGCUCGCAGGCGGUUUCUUAAGUCUGAUGUGAAAGCCCCCCGGCUCAACCGGGGAGGGUCAUUGGAAACUGGGAAACUUGAGUGCAGAAGAGGAGAGUGGAAUUCCACGUGUAGCGGUGAAAUGCGUAGAGAUGUGGAGGAACACCAGUGGCGAAGGCGACUCUCUGGUCUGUAACUGACGCUGAGGAGCGAAAGCGUGGGGAGCGAACAGGAUUAGAACCCGAGUAGUCCCUGUCUCUUAUAA
rnacentral:rRNA from 1 species